UACGUAGGGGGCUAGCGUUGUCCGGAUUUAUUGGGCGUAAAGAGCGUGUAGGCGGCCAGGUAGGUCUGCUGUGAAAACUCGAGGCUCAACCUCGAGAUGUCGGCCGAAACCAUCUGGCUAGAGUCCGGAAGAGGAGAGUGGAAUUCCCGGUGUAGCGGUGAAAUGCGCAGAUAUCGGGAAGAACACCCGUGGCGAAGGCGGCUCUCUGGGACGGUACUGACGCUGAGACGCGAAAGCGUGGGGAGCGAACAGG
rnacentral:rRNA from 1 species